rnacentral:rRNA from 1 species
GACGAACGCUGGCGGCGUGCUUAACACAUGCAAGUCGAACGGAAAGGCGCUGCUUAUGUGGGGUGCUCGAGGGGCGAACGGGUGUGAAACAUGUGAGUAACCUGCCCUUGACAUUGGGAUAACUUCAGGAAACAUGGGAUAAUACCGGAUUGGGGCUCUUGCUGCACGGUGGGGGUUGGAAAGUAUCGGCGGUUGGGGAUGGCCUCGCGGCUUAUCAGCUGGUUGGUGGGGUAGUGGCUUACCAAGGCUUUGACGGGUAGCCGGCCUGAGAGGGUGACCGGCGACAUUGGGACUGAGGUGCGGCCGAGACUCCUACGGGGGGCAGCAGUGGGGAGUAAUACAGGAUGAUCGGAAGACUGAUGCAGCAAGGAAGUGUGCGGGAUGGAGGCCUUCGGUUUGAAUACCACGUUCGCUUAGGAGGGAGCGAGAAUGACAGUGAUGGGUAAAGAAACGCCGGCUAUCAACGUG